UACGGGGGGAGCAAGCGUUGUUCGGAUUUACUGGGCGUAAAGGGCGCGUAGGCGGUCACGACAAGUCAGUUGUGAAAUCUCCGGGCUUAACUCGGAACGGUCAACUGAUACUGUCGGACUAGAGUGCAGAAGGGGCAACUGGAAUUCUCGGUGUAGCGGUGAAAUGCGUAGAUAUCGGGAGGAACACCAAUGGCGAAGGCAGCUCGCUGGGACGUUACUGACGCUGAGACGCGAAAGCGUGGGGAGCAAACAGG
rnacentral:rRNA from 1 species